GGACGUGAGGGCGACUUGGCUGCGACCCUGUCACCCCACUGAUGGUCAGGGUGGAUUCAGCUGAGCUGGCGGCCAGGUGGGCGUCCCCAUCCUCCCCCACGGCCCCAGGUGUGUCCCUGCUGAAGUCGCAUGCUCGGUCGAAGAGGACGACCUUUCCCAAUAGAGGAGCACCGUUCUUCCGUCCAGGGUGUGUGAGUAGCUGCACCCCCGACAGAGCCUCCAGACUAGCUCUCAAGGUCAGGUAUAACAUCCUGCUUUAUUAAAGCACACGCGGCCUUCCUGAUCCUUGAGUGCAGCCUUUUGACUGGAUCCAAAUUUUACAGAACAAAUCAUUUUAA
rnacentral:snRNA from 1 species